AGCGAACGCUGGCGGCAGGCCUAACACAUGCAAGUCGAACGAAGUCUUCGGACUUAGUGGCGGACGGGCGAGUAACACGUGGGAACGUACCUUUUGGUUCGGAACAACUCAGGGAAACUUGAGCUAAUACCGGAUGAGCCCUUAGGGGGAAAGAUUUAUCGCCGAAAGAGCGGCCCGCGUUAGAUUAGCUAGUUGGUGAGGUAAAGGCUCACCAAGGCUACGAUCUAUAGCUGGUCUGAGAGGAUGAUCAGCCACACUGGGACUGAGACACGGCCCAGACUCCUACGGGAGGUAGCAGUGGGGAAUCUUGCGCAAUGGGCGAAAGCCUGACGCAGCCAUGCCGCGUGAAUGAUGAAGGUCUUAGGAUUGUAAAAUUCUUUUACCAGGGACGAUAAUGACGGUACCUGGAGAAAAAGCCCCGGCUAACUUCGUGCCAGCAGCCGCAGUAAGAC
rnacentral:rRNA from 1 species